GACGAACGCUGGCGGCAUGCCUAACACAUGCAAGUCGAGCGAGUUGAUUCCUUCGGGAUGAAGCUAGCGGCGGACGGGUGAGUAACACGUGGGCCACCUGCCUCGUAGAGGGGAAUAGCCUUCCGAAAGGAAGAUUAAUACCGCAUAAGAUUGCAUCUUCGCAUGAAGAAGCAAUUAAAGGAGCAGUCCGCUAUGAGAUGGGCCCGCGGCGCAUUAGCUAGUUGGUGAGGUAACGGCUCACCAAGGCGACGAUGCGUAGCCGACCUGAGAGGGUGAUCGGCCACAUUGGGACUGAGACACGGCCCAGACUCCUACGGGAGGCAGCAGUGGGGAAUAUUGCACAAUGGGGGAAACCCUGAUGCAGCAAUGCCGCGUGAGUGAUGACGGCCUUCGGGUUGUAAAGCUCUGUCUUCGGGGACGAUAAUGACGGUACCCGAGGAGGAAGCCACGGCUAACUACGUGCCAGCAGCCGCCGUAA
rnacentral:rRNA from 1 species